rnacentral:rRNA from 1 species
GACGAACGCUGGCGGCGUGCUUAACACAUGCAAGUCGAACGGAAAGGCCCUGCUUGCAGGGUACUCGAGUGGCGAACGGGGGGUUAACACGUGGGUGUUUUCCCUGCCACUUGGGGUUAAGCCUGGGAAACUGGGCCUAAUACCGGAAGGGAGCCAUUUUAAGUGUGAUGUUUGGAAAGUUUUUUGGGUGUGGGUUGAGCUGGGGGCCUUUCAGUUUGUUGGUGGGGGAAGGGCCUACCAAGGGGGCGACGGGUAGCCGGCCUGGGAGGGUGGACGGCCACAUUGGGACUGAGAUACGGCCCAGACUCCUACGGGAGGCAGAAGUGGGGAAUAUUGCACAAUGGGCGCAAGCCUGAUGAAGCGACGCCGCGUGGGGGAUGACGGCCUUCGGGUUGUAAACUCCUUUCGCUAGGGACGAAGCUUUUUGUGACGGUACCUAGAUAAGAAGCACCGGCUAACUACGUG